UACGGAGGGUGCAAACGUUGCUCGGAAUUAUUGGGCGUAAAGCGCACGUAGGCGGACCAUCAAGUCGGAUGUGAAAUCCCUCGGCUUAACCGAGGACGUGCAUUCGAAACUGAUGGCCUUGAGUACGAAAGAGGAUCGCGGAAUUCCCGGUGUAGAGGUGAAAUUCGUAGAUAUCGGGAGGAACACCAGUGGCGAAGGCGGCGACCUGGGCCAAAUACUGACGCUGAGGUGCGAAAGCGUGGGGAGCAAACAGGG
rnacentral:rRNA from 1 species